rnacentral:tRNA from 1 species
UACUAGGUGACUGAAAGCAAGUGUUGGUCUCUUAAACCAUAUAAUAGUAUAUUAGCAAUUACUUCUAGUA